rnacentral:lncRNA from 1 species
AAAAAAUCUUUGUGAAAUUUACAUCUGGUUAAACUGGUCUGUUAAAUUAGUUUCAUCUUAUUUCAACCCCAAGGAACACCCUAGAUUUAGUUAUUACCGAGGACUGUGUUGCCACCUCUCAAAUUUUGCCAACUACCUCUCCCCACUGUGUCCAGCCACACCUUCUGGUCCCUUCACUCCAUCAUGACUCCCUGCUCUGGGGUCUCCUCUCCAUCCAUGCUCACCUCCUGUCCUCUUUCCUUGCCUUCAGGAUCCCUCAUCACAGUUGUGCCCUUGUCCCUUUAUUUUUAGCGCCGCACCUGCGGCAGAUGCAGCUCCUGAAUCGGACCUGUAGCAGCCAGCCUACACCACAGGCACAGCCACACCAGAUCUGCGCUGCAUCUGCUACCUACACCGCAGCUCAUGGCAAUGCCAGAUCCUCAACCCACUGAGCGAGACCAGGGAUCAAACCCAUGUCCUCAUGGAUACCAGUUGGGUUCGUUUACUGCUGAGCCCCAACAGGAACUCCGGGAGUGGGAUCCUGAGGCUGGUGAGAAGGGGUGUCGUGUUUGGGUUGAGAAAGAUGCUGUAACAAGUGUGACGUUGGAAAAGAAGAACUUCUGUAACCAUGUACACUGGUGCAUCGUCUGUUCCGGCUGCUCUUACCAAAUACCACAGACAGCUGGCUUAUCAACAACCAGUCUCACGGUUCAGGAGGCGGAAGGGUGUGAACAGAGUCAGGUUUUUGUGAAGCCCUUCUUCCAGGCUGCACAACGCCCACCUCUUCACUGGGCCCUCAUGGGGGCAAGGGUCCAGACGCUCUCUAGACCCUCUUUGAUGAGGGUGCUAAUCCCCUUCGCGAGGUCUCCAUCCUUGUGACCUUGUCACCUCCUAAAAGCCCAACCUUCUCAUACCACCACCUUGGGGAUUAGGUUUCAACAUAGCGAUUUUGGCACAGAAUAAACCACCACCACCACCGCAAACAUCUAAACAGAGAACUAAAUUCUCAAAAGUAACUCCAUCACUAUAGAAAAUCUCUCAUUUUUUACAUUAUUAAGAGACAAUACUUUUAUCUGUUUAUAUAUAUAUAUAUUUUUUUUUUUUUUUUUCUUUUUUAGGGCCACGUCUGUGGCAUAUGGAAGUUCCCAGGCUAGGGGUUGAAUUGGAGCUGCAGCUGCCAGCUUACACCACAGCGGCACCAGAUCAGAGCUGUGUCUGUGGCCUAUGCCACAGUUCGCUGCAACACAGGAUCCUUUAACUCACUGAUCCAGGCCAGAGAUCAAGCCUGCAUCUUCAUAGAUAGCAGUGGGGUUCUUAACCCCGAGCCACAACGGGAACUCCUCUACGAUGAGAAAUUCUGAAACUGGCUAGUU